UACAGAGACUGCAAGCGUUAUUCGGAUUCACUGGGCGUAAAGGGUGCGCAGGUGGCCAGGUGUGUCAGAUGUGAAAUCCCGGGGCUUAACUCCGGAACUGCGUCUGAAACUGCUUGGCUAGAGCAUUGGAGAGGGUAGUGGAAUUCACGGUGUAGCAGUGAAAUGCGUAGAUAUCGUGAGGAACACCAGAGGCGAAGGCGACUACCUGGACAAUAGCUGACACUCAGGCACGAAAGCGUGGGGAGCCAAAGGG
rnacentral:rRNA from 1 species